GCAAAGGUGAGAGCGAGAGACAGCCUGGGAUUGGAGGAUAUUGUUAGUGGGCGUGAUGGUAUACUCAAGUACAGGAGUACAGUGAAAGGUGUACAAUGUGGCGGCAGGCAACACCAUCUUCAGUACAAAGGUAUCCAGAUACAAAAUAACUCCAGAAGGUAAAUUUGAAAAGGCAAAAGAAACAGAGAAGAAAAGAAAAUGCAGCUGGCUUGGAGCACUUGGGCCUACUGUGCUG